rnacentral:rRNA from 1 species
UUUCCUACGGGGGGCAGCAGUGAGGAAUAUUGGUCAAUGGGCUUACGCCUGAACCAGCCAAGUCGCGUGAGGGAAGACUGCCCUAUGGGUUGUAAACUUCUUUUAUAUGGGAAUAAAAUGUUCCACGUGUGGGAUUUUGUAUGUACCAUAUGAAUAAGGAUCGGCUAACUCCGUGCCAGCAGCCGCGGUAAUACGGAGGAUCCGAGCGUUAUCCGGAUUUAUUGGGUUUAAAGGGAGCGUAGAUGGGUUGUUAAGUCAGUUGUGAAAGUUUGCGGCUCAACCGUAAAAUUGCAAUUGAUACUGGC